rnacentral:rRNA from 1 species
AGUGGCGAACGGGUGAGUAACGCGUGNGUAACCUGCCCUGGAGUGGGGGCGAACAGUUGGAAACGAACUGCUAAUACCGCAUAAGCCCACGGAUCCGCAUGGAUCUGCGGGAAAAGGAUUUAUUCGCUUCAGGAUGGACUCGCGUCCAAUUAGCUAGUUGGUGAGGUAACGGCCCACCAAGGCGACGAUUGGUAGCCGGACUGAGAGGUUGAACGGCCACAUUGGGACUGAGACACGGCCCAGACUCCUACGGGAGGCAGCAUG